rnacentral:rRNA from 1 species
CCUACGGGUGGCAGCAGUGAGGAAUAUUGGUCAAUGGGCGUAAGCCUGAACCAGCCAAGUCGCGUGAGGGAUGAAGGUUCUAUGGAUCGUAAACCUCUUUUAUAAGGGAAUAAAGUGCGGGACGUGUCCCGUUUUGUAUGUACCUUAUGAAUAAGGAUCGGCUAACUCCGUGCCAGCAGCCGCGGUAAUACGGAGGAUCCGAGCGUUAUCCGGAUUUAUUGGGUUUAAAGGGUUCGUAGGCGGCCUUUUAAGUCAGCGGGGAAAGUCUGUGGCUAAACCAUAGAAUUGCCGUUGAAACUGGGAGGCUUGAGUAUGUUUGAGGCAGGCGGAAUGCGUGGUGUAGCGGUGAAAUGCUUAGAUAUCACGCAGAACCCCGAUUGCGAAGGCAGCCUGCCAAGCCAUGACUGACGCUGAUGCACGAAAGCGUGGGGAUCAAACAGGAUUAGAUACCCUGGUAGUC